AUGAAUGCUGGCGGCGUGGAUAGGGCAUGCAAGUCAAGGGGGCUCGUAAGAGCAACCGGCAGACGAGGUCAGUAACACGUAAGAACGUACCCCAAAGUCUGGUAUAGCUCGUCGAAAGACGGGGUAAUCCCGGAUGGUCUCGAAAGAGUAAAGGUUUAUUCCGCUUUGGGAGCGGCUUGCGCAGUAUCAGCUUGUUGGUGAGGUAAUGGCUCACCAAGGCUACGACGCUUAGGGGAGCUGAGAGGCUGACCCCCACCGAGGGAACUGAGACACGGUCCCUACUCCUACGGGAGGCUGCAGUCGAGAAUAUUUCGCAAUGGACGAAAGUCUGACGGAGCGACGCCGCGUGGUAGAUGAAGUGCUUCGGCACGUAAAUACCUUUUAUGUGGGACGAAAUUAUUGACGGUACCACAUGAAUAAGGGGCUCCUAACUCUGUGCCAGCAGGAGCGGUAAUACAGAGGCCCCAAGCAUUAUCCGGAAUCACUGGGCGUAAAGGGUGUCAAGGCGGUUAUGUUAGUCGUUCGUUAAAUCCGGGGGCUCAACCUCCGGGCUGCGAGCGAAACGGCAUGACUUGAGGUCGGGAGAGGUGCAUGGAACUCACGGUGUAGGGGUGAAAUCCGUUGAUAUCGUGGGGAACACCAAAGGCGAAGGCAGUGCACUGGCCCGCACCUGACGCUCACACACGAAAGCCAGGGUAGCGAACGGGAUUAGAUACCCCGGUAGUCCUGGCCCUAAACGUUGCUCGCUCGUUCUACGGAGUAUCGACCCUCUGUGGGACUAAGCUAACGCGGUAAGCGAGCCGCCUGGGUAGUACGAUCGCAAGAUUAAAACUCAAAGGAAUAGACGGGGACUCGCACAAGCGGUGGAACGUGUGGCUUAAUUCGAUGAUCCGCGAAAAACCUUACCAAGGCUAGAAACCAAGCUGCAUCUCGGCAGAAACGCCGAGAGCCUUCGAGGGUGCUUGGCAGGUGAUGCAUGGUUGUCGUCAGUUCGUGGCUUGAGCUGUUCCCUUCAGUGGGUAACGAACGCAACCCUCGUUGUCUGUUAUAUUGUCAGGCGAGACUGCCCCCUCACGGGGGAGGAAGGUGGGGAUGACGCCAAAUCAGCAUGUCCCUUGAUGCCUUGGGCCGCACACACGUUACAAUGGAUGGUACAAAAGGACGCAAUACCGCAAGGUGGAGCAAAUCCCAAAAACCAUCCCCAGUACGGAUUGAGGUCUGCAAUGACCUCAUGAAGCCGGAAUCGCUAGUAAUCCUGGAUCAGCACGCCAGGGUGAAUACGUUCUCGAGUCUUGUACUCACCGCCCGUCAACUCAGGGAAGUUGGAGGUACCCGAUAUCUUGCUUUACGCAGGACUACGGUAAAUUCAAUGACAAGGAGU
rnacentral:rRNA from 1 species